UCCAAAAAGAACAGGGAAUUGGCUGUAAGACCACUUCUUAUGAGUGCCAGAAGUCAUACCCAAAAGUCUCAUCAGCAUGACGGCCAAAACAUGACCAGAACAAGUCCAGCACCAAUGGACAUAUUGUUGUGGACGGGGAAGCUCAGGAGGCCUCAUCCCUACAUAAAGAGCUAAAGGCAGCUAAGGAAUUCUGAGGGUAGAAAAAAAGUCUUCCCACUGGUUAUCCAAUACCAAGAGAUUCCCUGGAAGUGAAGAUUGGAAUCACCUUUCUGGGGCCCACACUCCAAACAGGUGCAUAUGGCGAUAUCCUAAGAACGCACAACAGGCAGAAAUUUAGAGAUGAGAGGGAUGGAGAAUUUGGAUCCCUGACCACAAGGUAGGAAAUUUAGAGAUGAGAGGGAUGGGGAAUUUGGAUCACUGACCACAAGGUAGGAAAUUUAGAGAUGA